rnacentral:rRNA from 1 species
CCAGACUCCUACGGGAGGCAGCAGUGGGGAAUAUUGCACAAUGGGGGGAACCCUGAUGCAGCGACGCCGCGUGGGUGAAGGAGCACCUCGGUGCGUAAAGCCCUAUCGGCAGGGAAGAAAAGCGAACAGGUUCGCCUGGACGGUACCUGACUAAGAAGCCCCGGCUAACUACGUGCCAGCAGCCGCGGUAAUACGUAGGGGGCAAGCGUUAUCCGGAUUUACUGGGUGUAAAGGGAGCGUAGGCGGCGAUGCAAGUCAGAAGUGAAAGCCCGGGGCUCAACUCCGGGACUGCUUUUGAAACUGUGUUGCUAGAUUGCAGGAGAGGUAAGUGGAAUUCCUAGUGUAGCGGUGAAAUGCGUAGAUAUUAGGAGGAACACCAGUGGCGAAGGCGGCUUACUGGACUGUAAAUGACGCUGAGGCUCGAAAGCGUGGGGAGCAAACAGGAUUAGAUACCCCGGUA